rnacentral:rRNA from 1 species
UGCAGUCGAGCGAACGGACGAAAGUGGUUGCACUCUCUGAUGUUAGCGGCGGACGGGUGAGUAACACGUGGGUAACCUACCUAUAAGACUGGGAUAACUUCGGGAAACCGGAGCUAAUACCGGAUAAUAUUUAGCUUCGCAUGAAGCAAUAGUGAAAGACGGUUCUGCUGUCACUUAUAGAUGGACCCGCGGUGGAUUAGCUAGUUGGUGAGGGAACGGAUCACCAAGGGAACGAUACAUAUCCGACCUGACAGGGUGAUCGGCCACACUGGGACUGACACACGGCCCAGACUCCUACGGAAGGCAGCAGUAGGGAAUCUUCCGCAAUGGACGAAAGUCUGACGGAGCAACGCCGCGUGAGUGAAGAAGGUUUUCGGAUCGUAAAACUCUGUUGUAAGGGAAGAACAAGUACGUUAGUAACUGAACGUACCUUGACGGUACCUUACCACAAAGCCACGGCUAACUACGUGCCAGCAGCCGCGGUAAUACGUAUGUGGCAAGCGUUAUCCGGAAUUAUUGGGCGUAAAGCGCGCGUAGGCGGUCUCUUAAGUCUGAUGUGAAAGCCCCCGGCUCAACCGGAGAGGGUCAUUGGAAACUGGGAGACUUGAGUGCAGAAGAGGAUAGUGCAAUUCCAUGUGUAGCGAUGAAAUGCGCAGAGAUAUGGAGGAACACCAGUGCUCGAAGUGCGUACUCUCUGCUGCUGUAGACUGACGCUGAGGUGC